rnacentral:rRNA from 1 species
GCCCUUGGAAGGGAUGUAUUUAUUAGAUUAAAAACCAAUGCCCUUCGGGGCUCACUGGUGAUUCAUGAUAACUCCUCGAAUCGCAUGGCCUUGUGCCGGCGAUGGUUCAUUCAAAUUUCUUCCCUAUCAACUUUCGAUGUUUGGGUAUUGGCCAAACAUGGUUGCAACGGGUAACGGAGGGUUAGGGCUCGACCCCGGAGAAGGAGCCUGAGAAACGGCUACUACAUCCAAGGAAGGCAGCAGGCGCGCAAAUUACCCAAUCCCGACACGGGGAGGUAGUGACAAUAAAUACUGAUACAGGGCUCUUUUGGGUCUUGUAAUUGGAAUGAGUACAAUUUAAAUCCCUUAACGAGGAACAAUUGGAGGGCAAGUCUGGUGCCAGCAGCCGCGGUAAUUCCAGCUCCAAUAGCGUAUAUUAAAGUUGUUGUGGUUAAAAAGCUCGUAGUUGAACCUUGGGCCUGGCUGGCCGGUCCGCCUCACCGCGUGUAUUGGUCCGGCCGGGCCUUUCCCUCUGUGGAACCCCAUGCCCUUCACUGGGUGUGGCGGGGAACCAGGACUUUUACAAGGGC